UUAUAUUUUUGGUUAGUAAGUUUCGACAUUUCAACUCCUCCAAAAUAAUAGUAAAUUUAUUUUGGACACUUAGAGAGAAUGGCUGUUCUAUUUCCUAUCAUUAUCAUUUCAAUACCAUUUCUUCUGUUUAUUGGGUUACUUUCUUUGUUAUAUGUUAGCCUGAAGCAAACUAUAAAAUUAGAGGAAGCAGCCGCCGCAUUAGAAGCUAAAAAAAAUAAAGAAAAUGUUCCGCUAGUAACUAAGGAUAAAACUGAGAAGGUUGACACCGCACUGAAAAAGGAAGAGUACUACAAAAGAAUCGUAGAAUUGGUGUUAAUAGCAGUAAUUAAGCAGAAGUUCCUGGAACUUCAAGAUUCGAAAAGCAAUAAGGAUGACAAUUCUAUUGAAAAGAAAAAGAGACACAUUAUUAAUAUUCAGCAGUUAUGGAAGUAUAUUGUGAAGGAAAAUUUGAAAGCUCAACUUUUAAUGCACUAAUAUCAUCUUAUAAUUACUGAAUUGCAAUAUCCUUGGUAACAAAGAAAAUUCUAAAUCGAUUGUCGACAUCUCUUUCUGCUGCGACAUAUGAGCCAAUGCUAAUAAAAGCCAACAUAUAUGAUUGCAAGGUUAUUGGUUAGCACAUAUACUGCUGGACUAAGGGUACAUAAACUAAAUCCCUAGACCAAUUAACGUGGAAUGUGUUUAACUUUAAUUACAAGCAGUAACAUUAUGUCUAAAAUGUUACUUAUAUAUCAGCAGCAUAUAUAGAUAUGUAAAGGAUUUCGAGCUUACUAAGUAAUACAUUCGUUAUUGGAGUUUCACAUUGCUGGACUAAGGAUAAAUAAACUUUCAUGAUGUGUCAUGAUUACUUCCGGUAACAUUAUAAUCAAAAUGUCACUUAUAUUGCAUAAUACUAAGUGACAAUAUUUUCAGCAGUAUAUAUAGAUAUAUAAAGGAUUUGGAACUUACUAAGUAAUACAUUCGUUAUUGGAGUCUCAUAGUGCUGGACUAAGGACAUAAACUUACAUGAUGUGUCAUGAUUACUUGCGCAGUAUAUAUAGAUAUAUAAAGGAUUUGAAACUUACUUAGUUGAUACACUCGUUAUUAGAGUCUAACACAUAUGAACUAAGGACAUAAACUUACAUGAUGUGUCAUGAUUACUUGUGUAUAUAUAGAUAUGUAAAGGAUUUGGAACUUACUUAGUUGAUACAUUCGUUAUUGGGGUCUCACAGUGCUGGACUAAGGAUGCAUAAACUUACAUGAUGUGUCAUGAUUACUUGCGGUAACAUUAUAUUCAAAAUGUACCUUAUAUUGUGUAAGAGUAAGUGGCAAUAUUUUCAGCAGCAUAUAUAUAUAUAUAUAGAAAGGAUUUGGACCACACUUAGUUAAUACAUUUGUUAUUGGAAUCUCACACUGCUGGACUAAGG